ACCUUCCAUUCGGCCACCACUAACCAAUGUUCACAAGCAGAAAUGGCUGCAUUGGGCAGAAAAAUACAUGAAGACUAAUUUUCAAACAGUCCUGUUUACUGAUGAGUGCCGUGCAACCCUGGAUGGUCUAGAUGGACGGAGUAGUGGAUGUUUGGUGGACGGCCACCCUGUGCCAACAAGGCUGCGACUUCAGCAAGGCGGUGGUGGAGUCAUGUUUUGGGCCUGAAUCAUGGGAAGAGAGCAGAUCGGCCCCUCUAG